rnacentral:misc_RNA from 2 species
CCGAGUUUUCAACUCCCUAACCCUUAUGUGAACCUACCCAUUGUUGCUUCGGCGGACUCGCCCCAGCCGGACGCGGACUGGACCAGCGGCCGCCGGGGACCCUCAAACUCUUGUAUUAUCAGCAUCUUCUGAAUACGCCGCAAGGCAAAACAAAUAAAUCA